CGGGGCCUGACGCGCAGCCUCGGCCGGGGCAGGGGGGGCAGCGCCGUCUCCGCGGCCCGGCCCUCGCUCACCUUGUUGAUGCGUUUGAGCGCCAUUGUGUGUGUGCGCGCCGCCGGCCGCCGGGCCUGUCUCUGCGCCGCGGUGACUCCGGGCUCCGCUCGCGCUGAGGGGGGAGGGGGAUAGUUGCGUCUCUCCUUCCUCCGGAAACAGCCAGGGGCGCCCGCCCGCACGGAGCGCAGCCGCCCACAGCCUCCUCCCGACGGGCGGGUCCGGCCCCUUCUUCGGAGAGCGCUGGCUGCUGCCGCCUCGGGGAGGACAGACGAUGAGCUGCGCCGCCGCCAGCGAAGAAACCGAGCUCAGCCCCCUGCACACCCGCCGCCGGUGGCGAGGCCGAGGAAGAAAGGAGGGGACAGCAGGCACCGCCCCCCGCUGCCGGGGGCGGGUCACUGAGGAACCUCGCCUGCACCCCCCUCUGACUGGAGCAGGGAGGGACGCGCUAACCGCCGCCGCUGCCGCCUGGGAAUCUGCGCACGCGCUACCAAGACUGCUGGAACUGGGGUGGUCGAGGGGAGACUCUGGCUCGUGAAUGGGUGGUGAUACCUGGAUCCUCAAGCACUUAGAGCCAUUCUCUCUGGAAUUAACUUGAUUAUCACACCAAGAUCUAUGGACUACUUUAAGUCUCCCAGAGCACUUUCAAUGACCCAUGGAGCUGCUGCUUCUAUCCUGGUGGAGUAUCUGGUCAGUCUUAACCAGUGAUGCUUCCUGUCUAAAAGUUUAUAGAGCCUUUUUUUAAAUAGGUAACUCAGAACAAGGCUGCUUUUUAACUUUGUAUUAGAUGCUUCUACUUGUGUAAAUUCAAUCAUACUUAGAUUUUUGAGGCAAGAACCUUACCCCAUUUUGGUGAAGUAGCAAACAUGUAAGAGGACAAAAUCAAACUGCAAACUGACCUGGAGAGAUUAGAGAAACGGAGUUUUCAGGAAAUUAUGGGAGGUUCACUGUUAACAACUGUGAUAUCCAGGGAAAAUAAAUAACCAGCAUACAUAUAUAACUGAGGAGCGUAAGCAAACAACCAUAUCCAGUUCAGUGAUUUGAGUUUGUUUUCAUUAUGUUGUCUUUAGUAUUGCUUCUGAUAUUACUUUUCUGUGUACCCAAGGAGUCUAGUUGCUGCAGAAGAGAUGUGGGACCAGAAGGGGAAGUCUCCACAAGAAAAUCUCAAUCUUUUAAAAUAGUUUCCCAAUUAUAAAAAAGUUUGAGAAGAACUGGGUGUCAUAAACAGAUAGUUAAGGGUUAAUGUCUCUUUUAUCUGGGGUUAACAAGCUCAGUGAAUCUGGCUGACACCUGACCAAAGGACAAAUCGGGGGACAUGAUACUUUCAAAUCUUGGUGGAGGGAAGCCUUUGUUUUGUGCUUUUUGGGGUGUUCUUUGUUCUCUCUUGGGGCUAAGAGAGGCCAGACAUGCCACCGGU
rnacentral:lncRNA from 1 species